UAUCAAAUUUAGAAUUGUGUUCCCCCCAACCCCAAAAAGAAUUAGAGAAAGGUGACGAUUAAGUUGUGUGCCUUGCUGGUGGCCAUGACAGAGGAGCAGCAGAUGACAACUGACUUCAGAGGACCCGCCAACCAGGAGGAAACCCUGAUGCUAUAAUCUUGUAUCUGGAAGAUGAAAACCUCACCAUAACAAAGUGGACGUCCACUCUGGGUAACCCGAUCCCAUCAAAGAAAGAAGAGGGCAGGAAAGGAUUGGUGCUGACCAAGAACAACCUGAUUCUGAGAACCCAGGAACGCAUUUCCUCCCGGCACGACCAUGAAAGGCAUAACGAUAAAAAUAAUAAUUACAUGAGACGAUGUGUUCCCAGUCCAUGUUUGCUGUUAUCUCGGUCCACAUUUUAAUGUAAUUCCAAUAAAAAAUUUAGUUUCCCA